rnacentral:rRNA from 1 species
UACAGAGGGUGCAAACGUUGCUCGGAAUUAUUGGGCGUAAAGCGCGUGUAGGCGGCUUGUUAAGUUGGUUGUGAAAACCCAUGGCUCAACCAUGGAAGUGCGUCCAAAACUGGCAAGCUAGAGUUCUGGCGAGGAUGGCGGAAUUCCCAGUGUAGAGGUGAAAUUCGUAGAUAUUGGGAGGAACACCGGUGGCGAAGGCGGCCAUCUGGGAAGAUACUGACGCUGAGACGCGAAAGCGUGGGGAGCAAACAGG